GCGGCACACACUUGUAAUUCUAGCUACUGGGAGGCUGGGGCAGGAGGAGUGCAAACUGGUGAGACUCUGCCCCAAAUAAAAAAGGGCUUGGGAUGUAGCUCAGAGUGAAAGUCCUGAGUUGGAUACCCAGGGUGGAAGGGAGGGGGACAGGGCUUAAAAACUGAUGAUGAAAUGCAAACGAGCACCACAGCAUCCACUCUGUGUGGGCUUCCGGUGCUCAUUCAAUUAUUCUUCGCAUCUCAGUUUUUAAAAGGCCUCAAAAUGUGUACGAAUUACUUAAUUCCGCCCUUCCCCGGCCCGCUCUCUCUUUUCUGGUGCUGCCUUUCGCCUGCCACAUUAUUCCCGUGAGUUGAGAGUAAACCCGAGUUUGCCUUUUCGAGUACCCUGUACUUUGAACUCCCGUUCUCUGGACAAACAGCUCAGGAAAGCAUGAGGAAACAAACACCCGCCACCCGCCACUCUGCCCUGAUCGUACAAGCUUCAGAGCUGGCAGGGAGCAUGGAGACCUGGAGACACCUCAGACAGCGAGGAAUGAGACCUGGGAGUGGGGGCCUGGACCCCUGACUGUGAUCCACUCCUGAGCGCUGCAACAAGUCCCGUCCCUUGGAACAGGCCUUGUGACCCACACACAAAGGCCUCCCGGAAUGGAUGUGUGCCCUCAGUCCCACGGAUGCCACAGUGACAGCAACAGGAGAUGUGGAACCAUCUCUUGGACGGUUUACCCUCUCCUCUUGCUUCAAGAAGCAGGGCAAGAGAGGGCAAAUGGCAUGUGUGCUAAUGGAUUGGGAAGGCCGUCCACCAUUCAUCCUCCUGCCUCAACCUCCCAGAGUGCUGGGAUCUGGGGCUGAGCCACCACACUGGACUCUCAUGAGAGCCUCUUAUGCAGCCCUGGCCUCCCACACCUCCCAGCACAGCUGUCAGCCUCAUGCUCCACACUGGCCUCACCUCCCACCAUAUUGCCGAAAACCCUGCCUUACUCUCAGUGAUCCAGAUAAACCGAGGCAGUGGCAGUGCCCAGCACCUGAGUAUCUGCAGGUCUACAAAUACAUCAAGGAUCCCACAGAACAGCAGCAGUAGAGGCUACACCAAUUUAACUUUUAAAAACUAAAAUGGAAGUUCGGAGUGGUGACACACAUCUGUGACCCUAGCACUCUAGGAGGCUGAGACAGGAGGAUCAAUCACAAUUUCAAUCCUAACCAAGGCAGUUUAGUAACAUAGUAACACCUUGUCUAAAAAAAAAGAGGGGGGGAUGUAGCUCAGUGAAAAGGCCCUGAGUUCAAUGCCCAUCACCACAAAGAACAACAGUAAGAAACCUAGAGUGAAAUAAAAAUCUCAGCUCAGUCAUAUCGACCAUAUUUCAAAAGUUAGGCAGCCUCACAGGGCUGUGGUUGCCAAACUGAGGGCAGCUGCAGGGCUCCCCACAGCAUUGCAAGGGCAGGCAGGGCCCUGGAAACCUGUCCAUAUCAUGAGCAUGGACACAGCUGCCUCUACAGAGGGUGAGAGCAGGCAGCAAGCUGCCUAGGUGUGUGCUCCAGGCUGACAUGAGCCAGCUGGAGAGAGCUGGAUACUCCUGGGGGAAGAUGUUUUCCUCAGCUGCAAUGAGUCACUGUCCCGUUCCCAGGGCAGGAACGGACCUGUGAGGAGGCCAGACAGGGACCCUUUCCUGUGCAGCUCCCUCCUCUGGCCUCCAGGCCCCACCUAGCAUGCCAUCAACCACAGGCCAGCUCCAAAGAGCUCCUCAGUUUACAAAUCACUGCUCAGGUCUGUUUGGAGUCACAGGACAGAAGUCUUUCUGGUCCCAGUGGCCUGUGCACACUUCUGAGGCCAACUCACUGGCUCCCUCGGUCACAAGCACGAAGAACUGACAGAGCCCACCAAGGAGAAUGUUGUGCACAACUCCUCCAGGAAGCUGUGAUGUUACUCUUCUGUUCGGUGGUACUGGGGAUUGAACCCAAGGCCUUUGUUCUGAGCUACAUCCCCAGCCCUUUUAAAUUUUUUAAAAUUUGGGACAGGUCUUGUCUUAAGUUGCUAAGUUGCCCAGCCUGGACUUGAAUAUGUGAUUCUGUUGCCUCAGCCUCCCAGAGUGCUGGGAUUACAGGUGUAGCUAUGUUGGGCUUGUACAGUCAUUUUUGGUGGGGAGGGGCCAGGGCCGGGGAUUUAGCUCAGUGGUGCCGCCACCUGCCUCUUGCAAGGCCAAGGUCCCAAGUUUGAUCCCUAGUACCAAACAUAAAUAAAUAAAUAAAUAAAUACAUACAUAAAGUUACUUUUUGAAUCCUAAAUGCUGCCAACCCUGUCCUAAGACCCAGAAUAUCUGUGAGCUGCAGCAAUGCUCAUCAAGGGAGGAGCUGGGGAGGCCCCUCCAUCUCCACAGUGUGCCUGUGUGAAACCAGCAAGAACCCUUCGUCUCUGAAACCCCAGCCACAAACCACAAAGCCCUUCUGGAACAGGUACAGGAGCAGCUUUA
ensembl:lincRNA